CAGUAGCCGCGGUAAAACGAAGGGGGCUAGCGUUGUUCGGAUUUACUGGGCGUAAAGCGUGCGCAGGCGGUUGUGUAAGACAGGUGUGAAAUCCCCGGGCUUAACCUGGGAACUGCGCUUGUGACUGCACAGCUAGAGUACGGCAGAGGGGGGUGGAAUUCCACGUGUAGCAGUGAAAUGCGUAGAGAUGUGGAGGGACACCGAUGGCGAAGGCAGCCCCCUGGGCCAAUACUGACGCUCAUGCACGAAAGCGUGGGGAGCAAACAGGAUUAGAUACCCCCGUAGUCCCUGUCUCUUAUAC
rnacentral:rRNA from 1 species